rnacentral:rRNA from 1 species
GACGAAGGGGGCUAGCGUUGUUCGGAAUUACUGGGCGUAAAGCGCGUGUAGGCGGUUGUUCAAGUCAGGUGUGAAAGCCUUGAGCUCAACUCAAGAAAUGCACUUGAUACUGGAUGACUAGAGGACCGGAGAGGAUAGUGGAAUUCCCAGUGUAGUGGUGAAAUACGUAGAGAUUGGGAAGAACACCAGUGGCGAAGGCGGCUAUCUGGAUGGUUUCUGACGCUAAGACGCGAAAGCGUGGGGAGCAAACAGG